rnacentral:tRNA from 1 species
CCGGGCUUCUCCCGUU